rnacentral:rRNA from 1 species
GUCCACGCCGUAAACGGUGGGCACUAGGUGUGGGGGACAUUCCACGUUCUCCGUGCCGAAGCUAACGCAUUAAGUGCCCCGCCUGGGGAGUACGGCCGCAAGGCUAAAACUCAAAGGAAUUGACGGGGGCCCGCACAAGCGGCGGAGCAUGCGGAUUAAUUCGAUGCAACGCGAAGAACCUUACCUGGGUUUGACAUAUACCGGAAAGCUGCAGAGAUGUAGCCCCCGCAAGGUCGGUAUACAGGUGGUGCAUGGCUGUCGU